rnacentral:misc_RNA from 1 species
GAUGAAGAACGCAGCGAAAUGCGAUAAGUAGUGUGAAUUGCAGAAUUCAGUGAAUCAUCGAAUCUUUGAACGCACAUUGCGCCCUUUGGUAUUCCUUAGGGCAUGCCUGUUCGAGCGUCAUUUAAACCUUCAAGCUCAGCUUGGUGUUGGGUGACUGUCCGCUUCACCGCGGACUCGCCUCAAAAUUAUUGGCGGCCGGUACAUUGGCUUCGAGCGCAGCAGAAACGCGAACUCGGGCCCGUCGUAUUGGCUCCCAGAAGCUAUCUUCACAAUUUUGACCUCGGAUCAGGUAGGGAUACCCGCUGAACUUAAGCAUCUCAAUAAGCGGAGGA